UCUUUGAAACUUGUGUAUCUUAUUUAUCUUUGUUUGUGAACCCUCUAACUGCAGCCAGGAACAGUAUUCCUCAAGGCGAGCUUGGAUUAAAGAGAAAAGUUUGUAUAUUAGUCAUGCUGCUCAGAGAGUCUUCUAAAAUACUCAAACUGCAAAAAGAAAGCAAAUUAUAUCAAUGGGAAAAAACUUUGUGAAAUGCAAACAAAGUUAUAUAAGAGUCUCUAAAUCCUUCUGAUGUUUUCUCAAGGCAAAACAAGCCAGUUAUUUAUCCUCUUCUUUAAUACAGAUGGUUUCAUAUAUCACAGCAGAAUGGUUCUCUAAUCACAUGUUUUGACAGGUUUAAUUCAUUCAGUCAGAGUUAUAUCUCCAUAUAGUCUGGCUUUUUUAGCAGUGAUGAAGUAUUGUACAUCCAUUGAGAAAAGACCAGCUCUCAUUGACUUUAUAUCUGAUGACACAACCUCAAACCUCAGUUUCUCUUCCCAGACAAAUGCACUUCAAUCUUAAAACGAGCCCUAUACACACCAAAACCUCAAAUCAAGGUCUGACACAGAAAUGUGAAAACCUUCAGCGGCUAUACAUCACCGCGACAUUCAAAUUAGCGCCGUAUCAGACAGCCCCAUCUUCCCCAGAGCCAUGCAUCAAGAAAUGCCUCCAAUUGUUGCUUUCGAUUGUUUAUAGCAACCAGGAGACAGAGGCGAUGUGGAGAUAUGUGUGGUGACACUUUUGUCGCCAUCACAUCGGGGGCUCUGUAAUCUUUCCAGUCAGGAAAACCAGAACAGAUUAGUUUGUACAGCCCUUCCAGUGUGCCAUCAUCAUAAAUCAGCGUCAUGACCCCAAACAUGUUGGAGGACACUCCACAACAACAAGGCCUGUGAGAAUAAUGUUUGUUCCCAAGAUUGGACUGUAGCUUUUAAAUGAUAUACUGUGAGAAGAGUCUCAUUCACAUCUAUUUCUCACACACUCAUUGUACGGUGGAGUGAAAGUAUUUCCCAACCACAGCUCGCAGGAUCUGCAGGGUUUUGGGUUUGGCGCUCUUUCAUUACAGGGUUUGUUGGCUGUGAACAAGCAUUGGGGAAAUCAGUGUGAUUGUUUACUGUCACCAAGAAAAAGCAUGGGUUGACAAAAAAAAAAGCAAUAACACAAAAGCCCUGGCAAUCAAAGUCACAUAAACAACAAAUGGGUUUUAUGUAUGAAACUUUCUGAGACUUGGAGUCAAGAACCAAGCUCACAGCUCUACGAGGGCUUACGCUUUUGUGAAGAUAAUAAGCACUUAUAAUAUUCAUGUGCGCCGUUUUAGUCUCAAGUGGAAGUGGGCUAACAUUUGCUAAUUAGCCCUUAUUACAGCUUGAGGCUGUGGGGAAACGUCAUUAAAAUUUCUAGUAUGUGGUCACAACCCAAAUUUUUAGAAUAACUGAAUUUGUAACCUGGUGAUGGCGCUUGGGGAGAGUAAGAAUAUUGCAUCUCAUGUUCUGGGAGGCAUGAACAUCUCUGCUGACUUCAUGACAAUCAACCCAGAAGUUGUUGAGAGUCUACGCCCGAAAUAGAAAAUGUAAAUAACACGGCGGUUUGAGACAAAAAUGUGAGAGGAUCACUAAAGUAACAUGGUCCAUCCUCUGGGUACUAUGAAUGGCUUUACAAAAGUGUGUACCAAUAUAUAUUUAUCAUUUGGAAUAUUAAAUGUUAAAUAAAAACUUUGACUUGCUGUUGGUGACACAGAAGAGUAAAAUGAUUUAAACCUGAUUAAUAAAACUGAAUUAAAUAUGUUUCAUCUUUCCCCUGCUGCAGGAAAUACCAAGGGUCGUCAGAUUUCAUAUAGCACUUUACAUUGGAUACAUCAUUCAUUCGCUCACACAGUCACACCUUGGUGGUGUUAAACUACUUUAGUCACAGCUGCCCUGGGGCAGACUGACAGAAACGUGGGACCAUUUAGGGGCCAUGAACAUUGGUGCAAAUUAUCAGCUGUGAAGACAGCCACCAAAGUGAAACAGAUGAACCCCCUUGGGACUUAAUAAAAUAAUAAAACUUGAUAUGUAAUUUUUUGCAUCAUAAUUGGCAUUGGGUAGAGUGGCGCACCCCAAGGUUCGGUUCUUGGGCCUAUACUGUUUGCACUUUACCUCGUUCCUCUGAAUUUGAUUAAAAAAAAACAUGGUGUCUCUUACCAUCUUUCUGCAGAUGAUACACAAAUCUACUUAUCUCUGCAAAGAAUCAAUAAAAGCUCUCUGAAACUCUGAAACUCGACUGUUGGCGUGAUGUCCUUAACUGUUGUUGUUGACAGUUGUAUGGGGUCAACCAGAAACACCACAGCUGAAAAGACACAUAUUUCCCCCUAGUUUUGGGGAGGAGGACACGUUCACGUAAAUAAUUCAAUUUUCACAGCUGCAUGUAGACGAUAUACAAUGAGAGAAGUCCGACUCUGCAAAAAAAAAACAAAUUGUGAGCUUAAUCUGAUUAAGCUGUGCAUAAAUCUGUUUUGUCUUUAAAUGAUUUUGAGUUAGUGCUCUAUACUUUUACUUCUACUCAGUUGGACUUCACUUUAUCUUAGAGAUAGCCAUCCUCAUCUGAGGACCAAGAAUGUCUGUAUUGAAGUUUGUGCUCUUUAGCAUAUGUCCAAAUGAUACUUUAGAUAUGGCAUUUACCUGGUAGUGUUAAUAGUAAUGUUAUCAUAUUGACAAUGUUUUUAGGAUUCAUCAUCUGGGAAUCACUUGCAAAACUUUGUGGUAGCCCAGUUGACAAAAAGUAGCUGAAAACAAAAAUCUAUCAUCUGAGGAUAACUCAAGUUCAUGUUGAGAGAUCCUGCAGAUGCAGAUGAAUUUCUCAGGCUUAUUUUGACAUGUUAGAACAUGGGUUCUUCUCAUGGAUAUCUGUGUAAGGAAAGUCCCUCCAAAACAUAGAUUUUUCUUCUGGAGAUCAAAUGAGUGAUACAAAAUGAGAUUCUGUCAAACAGUCAAUAAAGAGAUAAAAAAGAAUUAAAAAUCAUGUAAAGCAGCUUAGAAGUAUCAUUGAAAAUGUUCAGCUGAGUUGAAGAAAGUUGUAUUCUUUUAUAGUUGACCACUCUCAAUGGAAAUUUUGGGAUCAUUUCUUCCAAAAACAAGUUAUACCAAGAUUUACGAUGCAGAACAACAACUGUUUUCAAUAACAAGCAAGCUCAUUUCAUUAAGGAGAUGAAAAGGAACCAAAAUACAUUUUAACGUAGCUUAGCUGCAAUAAUUAUCAAUCAUUUGUUUACUCCACUUGUUUUGACAGAUCUGAACUUUUCUAGAGAAAGAAAAGAAACGAGAGAUAAAAAGUGAAAGAGAAAGAGACGAAAGGAAGUCGUGAGCAGCAAAAGCUGAAAAAGCAAGAGGGUGAGGAAGAGGCAGAAAAAAUACUCAGAGGAAGAGAAAGAAAGAAAGAAAAAGAGAGAGAGAAAGAGGAGCAUUUCAGUUCCAGUUGGACAUCCAAUCUGUGUUCUCGGUCUCUGACUCAAGCAAAAACCAUCAAAGCUUGAGGUUUGGGGACUCUAAAGUCGCUUCAAUCUCCAACCAUUUCCCACAGCCUUUCAAGAGCUGCCAGACGUUUAUUUGUUUUGGAUUAAUGUAAUUAACCCCCCCGUUCCCGUUGUCGCACACAAGAAGCCAGUCACAGUGAAAAGAUUACAAGGCCUCUGCUUCUCAUACAUCCAGCCUGACCAAAGCAGCACAGUGGCUCAGAGAUUUCAUAUCACUGGAUUAUAUUCUGCUUUAGUUUGACAUGUAAAUCGCCCCGUGACAGUCCUCAGAGUACAUCAAAAACACUCAGCACUUCAGGCUCUUAAAAAAGGACAACUUGCAGCGAGAAAUCCCCGCAACGCUCUCUUGAGUUACUUUGUGGUGUUAUUUGACACCGUCAUUUUAAUUAUGCGGAUAUUUUUGGAGAAUUGCUUUUCCUCUCUAUGCGACAUGUUACAAUUUUGCUUUGGUUCAAAUUGAAGAAAACACGAACUCAUUUUCAGUCCUUUUUAGAUACACAAUACUGGUUGAAUUUGAGUCAAAACCCCAAUCCUGAUUUCAUUUAUUUUGCGUAUACAAAUAACAUUUCCAAUCCCAUAUCGAACCAUAAAUCAGUUCAUCACUGAGCCAUAAAUCUAAUAAUAUUCCACUCAGAAAUAAAAGAGACCCCAGCCGACUUCUGACAUUGAUCAUAAAAUGUAAAUUCAAGAAUCAUGCCGUGCAUUUUAAGUGGUUUUUAAAGAUCCUUGACUCGGAUCAUAAAACAUACUCAGACAGUAAUGGCCUGUAUUAAACUUCUUUUCAAGUCUAAACUAGAUUUUCACAAACCAGCUCACAGACCUCUCCACACAGCCCAGAGCCAUAACUCUUAUGGCGUCUAUAUUUUUUCAUGUGACAUAAGUCACAGUCAGAAUGAUGUGCGAGUAUGUAAUACAUUAGUGUUCCAGCCAUAGUAAAAUGUCUCAUAAAUCCACAGGGUUUUGGGUUUCAAACCCUGCAUGUAGCUCCAUAAAAAGAGAAGAAAAAAAAAGAAGAAAUCUGAAAAGUAUUGUGAAGAUUUGGCGAUCAAACCCAGAUGGAACCAAAUCAUUUUUCAGAGUCUGGUGGGAUGAAUAAUGCGCUCCCUGAUUUAGCAUGAUUUGGAAUAACAAGAGUUUGUGCUGCAGGCUUAGACAAGGCAAGAUGUGGUUUGACUGUUUUCAGAAUAAUAGGACUGAUCUACAAAAGUUAUAGAUUUAUGUACUUUUUCAGACAUCCUGGUAUGGACAUGAAAAAUGACUUAUGGAGAAAAACUUCAAGAUGUUUAAACUCUUUCUGAAGAAGGUAGAAAUGUUUCAUUUGAAACUGUGUAUACUCAGAACAAAAUUCGGCCUAUGCUUUUGAUUGAAAGGAAAAAACUAACUUUAUUUUCCACUUAAGUAUUGUUCCACUGAGCUUUUUUUGGUCUAAAAGAGGUCUAAUAGACGCCCAAAUGUAGCCUAGAUGACUGAUCUAAAAUCAGGCUACCACAGGUCUAAAAAUUAAUGUUUUUUUAGACGUCUAAAUUUGGACCAAGUUUAGACUAAAUCUUAAUCUGGGCUAUAUCUAUACUACACUGUAUAUUGCUCAACGGCUUUCAUAAUUAUUUUGGUUAAGUACUUGGAGAUGAGUUAUGCAACUCACAGUUGCUUUUUGAAAUAAAUAGUUAUCGAAUGAUGGGUUUAAGUGCAGCAUCUUAAUUUCGUCUAAAAAUAUAGUGUUCCAGACGGUUGAAAUUGGGUCUGAAAAAAAAAAUGCUCAGUGGAGUAGCUGAUCAUGACUUUCAGCUUCUUCUUUUGGAUGGUUUUCUAUUGUUUCAAGUGUUUGAAAUGUAUGGUACAAUCUUUCCAGUUAUUGAUUAUAGUAUAGUUAUGAUAUUAAAUGAAAUGUUGUUCAAAUUUAAUACCUGGGAGAAUUUCAGUUUUUGUGUUAAAAUACUGUUUAGAUUUUAUGUUUUUAGCUCCCCUCAUCACAGUCCUCUGAUCACCUAUACAGCUCUUAGUCCUGAUGUUAGAGAUGAAACCAUCAUAAUACACCCUGUGGCAGCCAUGACAGCUGUUUUAUUUUCCACUCUAACUGUACUGUGUAUUUUGCAUCUCUACCAGGCUAAAUAUGAAAGAUAAUGACAGACAGUGAUACCAGCCACCAUGACUUUAUGGUCAGUGAAUAAAAAUAUAUUAACUUACUUAUAAGUAGGGUUGGGCAUCGAGUCUCGAUGGGGACCGGGACUAACGUUCCGAUUCUUCCGGUACCGUUAAAAUUUUUAAAUUUUGAUUCCAAGCUCCAAUGACGGAGUCCGCCGACCGGAAGGAAUAGCCGCCGAACACCAACGAGGAAGACGCUUGGACGUGCAUCGCCGGACUUCCGCUAACCAGCCAGAAUCAGAUAAGUGAAACAAGAAGUUACUUCUGUCUUCUGUUAACAUUUAAGCGGCAAACAAUUUGUCCAGUGUACGGUGGGUCAACUUAAAUAUCCAACUAACGUUAGCCCUAGUACUUUUUCAUAGACAAACGACCUUACAAAAGUGUUUUGUCGUUCGCGGACGAUUCGUUCAAAAUAACCGACUCUUUUAAGUGAACGUACUGAACCGAAUCACUUCCUUGAGUUAUUUGUCCGUUCCUCACUCCAGUUGAGCUGAAAUGAGAAACAGCAUUGCCAGUUGUGCAGCCGGCGAACAAGGGACCGCAUGCACGGACACCUGUGGUGGAUGAAUCACACAUUGAACAACACUCUCUGGAAUCAUUUGUCAGACAAAACUACCUUUUUUUUUUUUCACUGCUUAAUUACCACCACAAGUCGAGAAAUAGAACAUAGUGUUUAACAAGUAGUGCAUUAAACCCACAGCAUCCUAACAUUGCAGCGGUUUGCGAGGGAACGGUGCAUGUUCAGUUUGAAUUCUUCUAAACGUUCAGUGAACGAAUCACUCACUGACCCCAAUUUACCGAGCAGACCUGAUAAAUAACAUACCAUAGGACAGUACACUUAAAACAUCAUGACUUAUAAACAAGUUCAUUUUUACAAACCUGUUUGUCAAAGCAAGACAGCCAAACACUCUUGUCUCCCAGUCCUGGAAGCUUUGAUCUCAACUGAAUCCUGAACUGUUCAGCUGUGUAUCAGUUCAGAAGGUCGGAGUCACAGGCUUCUUCCGCUAAGCGCUACAUGAUUCAGUGAUUUGGUGAACGAAUCUUUUUAGUGAACUGAUUCUAGUGAUUCAGGUUAGCACCCUCAUUAAAACCAUGCACUUUUUUUUUUUACUCAUGCCUUUUAACUGUCACGUAGCAGAGUUGAACAACGAAAAAAGGACCUUCAAAAUGCAGACCCAAAAAAAGGAUUAAAUAAAUUAACCAACACAAUGAUGUUUAAUAUUAACUAGUUUGAAGUGAACUUUUCAUGGCUGCCAUAAGAAGUUUUUGGCUUGAUUUACAAAAUAAAUAAAUAAAUAAAAAAAUAAAAAGUUCCUUGCCCUUAACUGUACUCAUGUAAGUGUCACGUAGCAGAGUUGAACAACGGAAAAAGGACCUAAAUGCAGACCAAAAAAAAGGAUUAAUUUAAAAAAAACUAAAUGAAAAGCAACAAAAACUUAUUUUAAAAUGUCCAACCAAAAAAAAUCCGAAAGGCAAAAUCCAACU
rnacentral:lncRNA from 1 species